rnacentral:misc_RNA from 1 species
GCUAAUAAUUAAGAACAAAUCUCAUCCCAUAAACUAAGGAAGAAUCUUAUCCAUUGAAUUAAGGGAAAUCUCAGCAAUUCUAACACUCCCCUUAUAAAAUUUUUCUAAAAUUAUGGAAUCAAGACUAUUUUUUUUUUUUAAUAAAUAAGUAGCUACUAUUGGAAGAGGAAUGAAGUUUCAACAAGUUUCAAGUGGGACCAUGUGGCUAGGUAGGAUCGAGGCUUUAGGCUACUUUGUCGGAGAGGUUGUCAGCAAGAAAGAAACGAUGCCCUAACACUCCCCCACACUGGCGCGUGGAUUUUGGAUACAAAACUUGUAGAGACGCAUGGAGGCUCAUGCCCUUGGCUCCAACCUUUGGGUUCCUCUAGAUAAGGUCAUCGACAUAGUUAUUAAAGGUUCGAUGUGCACUGAGAUGCCAAGGGUCCUAGAGCCUAAGAG